UACGUAGGGAGCAAGCGUUGUCCGGAAUCAUUGGGCGUAAAGAGUGCGUAGGCGGCGCGGUAAGUCGGGUGUGAAAUCUCGGGGCUUAACUCCGAAACUGCAUUCGAUACUACCGUGCUUGAGGACUGGAGAGGAGACUGGAAUUUACGGUGUAGCGGUGAAAUGCGUAGAUAUCGUAAGGAAGACCAGUGGCGAAGGCGGGUCUCUGGACAGUUCCUGACGCUGAGGCACGAAGGCCAGGGGAGCAAACGGG
rnacentral:rRNA from 1 species